AUACCCAGAUGUUUGGUACUGUAUCUGACUAACAACCAUAAGAAGCAGAGCACAGGGCAACAGACUGCAAUGGUAUUGCUGUUUGCUUGUGUUACCAGAGUGCUUAAGAGAUCCAGUCCCAGACUGAGAUCUCCAUGGUGAUUGGCACUGUACAAAGAUUUAAAGAUGGUUAGAGCUGCAAGAGCUUACAAUUGCAAUAUAAAGCACAAUGUAAAUGGAUAAAAAGUGGAGAGCCAAUGAGUAAGAGGAAACAAGGAGAAAAUAUUGCUCAGAAAGAUAUGCAGUGGUCAAUAACCUAAAGGUGAUCAGAUUUGGGGAAGUCUAGGAAGGUAAGGUGAACUUUAAAUGAGGCUUUGGAAGGUGGGCAGUGGCGUGCCCUGAGCAUCUAUGUGGAAUUCCUCCUAAGAAUGAAGGGCAGAAUAAUACAGAGCACAGAAGUACUGUUUGAAAAUUAACAUAAAAGCAGUGAAAGAUAGGCUAUCAGACCUUGAAAAUGAAGUCAUACCUGUUCAUAGUUGAAGAGCUAGAAAAUUGAUAAUUGCAGCAUUCUCUGAAAGGACAUAGUAGCACAGCAGUGUAUUUUUCCAAAAAAAAAAAAAAAAAAAGGGAAAAAGAUAUUAAAUCAUCAUAUGAUAAGCCUGGACAACAGUUGCAGCUUUGAAAAUAGCGAGGAUAAGCCCAAGGCUUUGUUACACAGAAGAAAAUCCGCAAAUUUAGGCACAACCUGAAUGACGUCCCUCGAGAGAAAGGAUCAAGUGAAAGAAGAUGGCCAUGUUGUGGAUCUGCUUACAAAGGAGUAAGCAAUAUAAAGGAAUGACACAGAGUACUCAGAUGAACAAGAAAGACAGAGACAGACAAAGGAUACCUAGAAAUCGACUUGUCAUGAUCAUAAGCUUUCACUUAACGGCCUGAGAAAAACAACUUCCAUUCCAAGGCACUCUACUUGUAUCACCCAUAUGGACAAGAAGAAAUAUCUCUGCCUCUCCCUGCAACGAUCUUCCAGGCUAAGGGUAAUGUUGCCUUUCUGCCCAUUAUGUGCUGCAGCCUCAGAUUAUGAUACUAGACUAUACACAGUGCAAGACUAGAUAAUUUAUUAUCUUUCUUGCACUGAGAAACAUAUCCCUUCCCAUUGAAUGUAACUCCCUCAGAGCCACCGGCAGGCCAUCUUUUACGCUUGCUCCACACACUUUGCCUAACAACGCA
rnacentral:lncRNA from 1 species